rnacentral:rRNA from 1 species
GAUGAACGCUGGCGGCGUGCCUAAUACAUGCAAGUCGAGCGAACGGACGAGAAGCUUGCUUCUCUGAUGUUAGCGGCGGACGGGUGAGUAACACGUGGAUAACCUACCUAUAAGACUGGGAUAACUUCGGGAAACCGGAGCUAAUACCGGAUGAUAUUUUGAACCGCAUGGUUCAAAAGUGAAAGACGGUCUUGCUGUCACUUAUAGAUGGAUCCGCGCUGCAUUAGCUAGUUGUUAAGGUAACGGCUUACCAAGGCAACGAUGCAUAGCCGACCUGAGAGAGGGAUAGCCCACACUGGAACUGAGACACGGUCCAGACUCCUACGGGAGGCAGCAGUAGGGAAUCUUCCGCAAUGGGCGAAAGCCUGACGGAGUAAGGCCGCGUGAGUGAUGAAGGUCUUCGGAUCGUAAAACUCUGUUAUUAGGGGAGAACAUAUGUGUAAGUAACUGUGCACAUCUUGACGGUACCUAAUCAGAAAGCCACGGCUAACUACGUG